GCUUUUCUAUCCUUAUUCCCGCUUCAUUUCUUUCACCCCAGCAUGUUUCGUGGAGUUUCCGAAAAUCUUCAUCGAGCAAGAGAUAUGACAAAAACAAUUCACCUCACAUCUGAACAGUCCCUGAUUUUUCUUUUUUCCUGCAAGGAUUUAUUUCUGAAAUUUUUUGAGCUAAUCAAUAUUUUGGGUUAUUUAUUAUCACUUCUGCUAUCACUGUUUGCUGUCAUCCCGUUUCUCGUCUAUAACCGUGCAGAUAAGGAAUGCAAAUAUAUCUAGGGAUCCACCUAUACAUCAGAGGAGAGAGCAUCAACAUAAGCUUUCUGUAAC
rnacentral:lncRNA from 1 species